rnacentral:rRNA from 1 species
CGACCGGCGCACGGGUGAGUAACGCGUAUCCAACCUGCCUUACACUCUUGGACAGCCUUCUGAAAGGGAGAUUAAUACAAGAUGUUAUCAUGAGUAAGCAUUUUCGCAUGAUUACAGGUUUACCGGUGUAAGAUGGGGAUGCGUUCCAUUAGAUAGUAGGCGGGGUAACGGCCCACCUAGUCUUCGAUGGAUAGGGGUUCUGAGAGGAAGGUCCCCCACAUUGGAACUGAGACACGGUCCAA